CCUCCCUAUCCCACCCAUCUCUCAUCCCUUCUCUCAGGAUCAUCAUUGAACGUUACUCCGCGCUGGACGCGGAGGCGACAGGUGGCGUCACGAACAGGGACCUGAGAACGAAGGAAUCGAUGAAGAGACCCUGAAGGAAGGCGCGCCAAGAUAAUGAAGCCCGCUGGUUGCCAGAAAGGUGGGUCCGACAAGUGGAGGAGAAGGAGGAUGAAUGCCCGCAGACGUCGAGCCCUGGAGAGCGCGAUGGAAAGACUGAGGAAGAUGUCGCCGAAGGCCUCGGCAACCCCGGGGACGUCUGCGUCACCCGGCCUGGCUGAACAAGCUGCAGGGCUGGCUCAACAGGCUGGUAGACCUCUCACACCUAUGACCUUGUUCCUGGCUCUCCUGCCUCUUGCUACCUGCUCUGUCCAUGGAGAACAGUUUUGGACCUAUGUCCCCGACCCCCCUUUACUCCAGACUGCGGUCUGGAAUGGGGAGGAAGUUCCACUGUACACUAAUACCUCCCGGUUCAUCGGUGGUCACUCGGCAGACCACAUCGCCCAGGCCGCUGUUGGUGCUGCACAGUCUUUCCCAUGGAAUAAACCUUUAAUGUAA